rnacentral:lncRNA from 10 species
AUUUGACUGACAAAAUAUAAUGGCUGAUAGACUGUGAACUCAGUAACGGAGGAAACUUUAUCAUUGUACAGCCAGCACCUAGCAUAGUGCCUGAUACAUACAAGAAACUGAAACUUCCUAAGAAAUCGGCCUUCUGGUAUUGUGGAAUGAGAAAAAUUUUCACUUGCGGGUACCCUACUUAUUGACUCUUCCAAGGUCUUUGACGGCUGCCUGCUCACCUCCUACAGUGCCCUAAAAGAAGUAUUUGCUUGACAUGAAAGAUCUUUGUAGAAAGACUCCAUGGAACUGACCUCAAACUGCCCUGACUCUAGACAAGGGACCAAAAAAAAAAAAAAAAAAAAAUGGAGAAGCUGGGCAGUCACAAAUGAUCAACAAAUCUGUAAGCCAUGCAUUCCCUAUCAAUGAUUUUGCAAAUUUACAGCUUUUGAAAAUCUGUAUCACAGACCUAUUGUGAGUACAGACAAGGAGAGUGUUUCCCAAUGUUUAGUGGUGAUCCUAGUAUGAGCUGAAGUGUGUUUCCCCAAAAUUCAUAUGUUGAAGCCCUAACCUCCAGUACUUCAAAAUGUACUGGAGGGCUGGGCAUGGUGGCUCACACUUGUAAUCCCAGCACUUUGGGAGGCCCAGGUGGGCAGAUCACUUGAGGUCAGGAGUUCGAGACCAGCCUGGCAAACAUAGCAAAACCCUGUCUCUAUUCAAAUACAAGAAUUAGCUGGGCAUGGUGGUGUGUAGCUGUAAUCCUAGCUACUUGGGAGGUUGAGGUAGGAGAAUCGCUUGAACCCAGGAGGCAGAGGUUGCAGUGAGCCAAUAUUGUGCCACUACACCCCAGCCUGGGUGACAGAGUGAGACUCCAUCUCAAAAAAAAAAAAAAAAAUUGUAACAGUAUUUGGAGAUAAGGCCUUUAAAUAGGUGAUUAAGGUAAAAUGGAGCCAUAUGGGUAGGCCCUAAUCCAAUGGGACUAGUGUCUUUAGAAGAAGACACUAGGACACAGACCAAACAGACUAAGGGGUGACCAUGUGAGGUCAUAGAGAGAACGUGUCAUCUGCAAGCCAAUGGGAGAGGCUCAGAAUAAACCAACCCUGCCAGCACCUCUAUCUUGGACUUCCAGCCUCUGUUACUGUGAAACAAUAAAAUUCUGUUGUUUAAACCACCCAGUCUGUGGUAUUCUGUUACAGUAAAACUAGCUGAGUAGUACAGACCCUUCUUCAUGCAGCUGGUCUGGCAGGUUGGAGAGGGAGACUUCGUGUGGGCAUAGUGUCUGCUUUAUCCUUGCUUCCUUCACAAAGCUCAUGAG